GCUGAAGGUACUUUUUUUUUUGGUACUGGGGAUAGGCAGGCGGUGGAACCACUGAGCUAAAUCUCUGGCCCAGCUGCAGGACAACGUUCAAGUUUCUUGCAUGUCCAAGACCCUAGAUGGCCUGGCCCCGCCUGCCUCUCUGCCUCGACUGCGCACCAACUGUGCUGCAGCUGCACCGGCAAACUCCGUCUUGUCUCGGAGCUCGUGAGUGUGCUGCCUCCUUGGCCUGAAGUGCGUCAUCGUCGUGUCUGGAUCCACAUCUCAUUUCAAAUACCUCCACCCUACUUCUGUUUCCAUGGCAACAGUGGCAGCAAUUCUGUGAAGAGCUCUGCCAGUCUUCCUUCAAGACUUCCAGGCCGUCAAUGGGAUGGACAUCAGCAACGUCCCUCACAACUUUGCUGUGGGCCUUCUGCAACAGCCCUGCCAGGUGCUGUGGCUCACAGUGCUAUGUGAACAGAAGUUCCAAGGCGGGAGAAGCAGACAUGCCUUGGACUCUUAUGUACCUCAAAAUGACAAUUUCCACAUGAUACUCAACAAAAGUACCCCCGAGG
rnacentral:lncRNA from 1 species